rnacentral:rRNA from 1 species
GACGAACGCUGGCGGCGUGCUUAACACAUGCAAGUCGAACGGAAAGGCCCUGCUUUUUUGGGGUGCUCGAGUGGCGAACGGGUGAGUAACACGUGAGUAACCUGCCCUUCACUUUGGGAUAACUUCAGGAAACUGGGGCUAAUACCGGAUAGGAGCUCCUGCUGCAUGGUGGGCGUUGGAAAGUUUCGGCGGUUGGGGAUGGACUCGCGGCUUAUCAGCUUGGUGGUGGGGUAGUGGCUUACCCAGGCAUUGACGGGUAGCCGGCCUGAGAGGGUGAACGGCCACAUUAGGACUGAGAUACGGCCCAGCCUCCUACGGGAGGCAGCAGUGGGGAAUAUUACACAAUGGGCGGAAGCCUGAUGCAGCAACGCCGCGUGCGGGAUGACGGCCUUCGGGUUGUAAACCGCUUUCGCCUGUGACGAAGCGUGAGUGACGGUAAUGGGUAAAGAAGCACCGGCUAACUACGUG